CUGCACGUGCGCUACAUUGACAAGAGCAGAAAGUCUACCUUGGUCGAUAGUCCUGGGUAAUCUUAUCAAUCUUGUCGUACUUGGAAUCGGUGUUUGCAAUUAUUCACCGUGAACGAGGAAUUCCUAGUAAGUGCAAUUCACUAUAUUGUGCUGACUGCGU
rnacentral:rRNA from 1 species